UGGAAGUUCACCUCUCUCAUACAGAAUGCUACAAGGAACAUUUUACAUAAAAUAUAACAUAGAAAAAGAUAAACAUUAAUUUGAACAUAUAAGAAUGUUGAAAAACAUUGAAUCGUCUUAGAAUGUCAAGGCACAAUGUAUCCAAGGACAUGCAUAUGGCAUCAAAGUCGCUUUGGCUGAAGAGAAAAGUCAAAGUGAAGAGUGAAUGGUAAAAAGUCAAGUAAAAAGAAGCCGCUCAACAAGUUGUCUGAUCUUAAAUACUGGCAGAGGUUGAGAUUAAACUUUCCUUGUGUUCAUCGAUGUUGUCACAAAGACGGUAACCUCAAAUUAAAUGAAUUUGUAGAUUAGGUUAGUAUGAAUAAAGUUGCUGAAUCAUACAGGAAAUAUUUUGGCAGUAGUCACAUUUAGAGCACUGCAGGCUUGUCAAAACCCAUCUUAAGUCAAGUAGAAGGAUGGGUUUCAACAGGAGAGAUCUGACCUCAUGAAUUUAUAGGCUUUACAGAUAAGUUUACAAUGAACAAUAUAGAAAUACCCUUUUGUGAUAUAAUUCAAUUAUUAUAUCCUUUGGAAGUCAUUGAUUUUUUCCAAUUCAAUUUUAACAUUGAUGUAGCACGAAUAUUAUGUCAGAAUAGCAUCAUCACAUUACAAUAUCAUGUAGAUUGUGAAACAUUCAUUGCACAUCAUGACAUCAUAUAUGAUGAUAUCAUGACGUGCAUAUAUAUUUGUGUUACCAUCCAUUGUUACAUUAUGCAAUUAUGAUGUAAUCUGGAAUUCAAACUAAACUCUGAAGCAAUUAAAUGAAGAUAUUUUCACUGCCAUCCCAAAAUGUCCUAUCUUUGGGACAAUCCGAACUGAUGGUAGUCUGAAUAAUAUAACUCAUAGGGUUGUUAUGCAAAAUUUGGCCCCAAGAGAUCAAAUAUUAUGGGAGUCUAUGAGGAAUAUACAAGAAGAUACCAGUAG
rnacentral:lncRNA from 1 species